UCUAAUCAUGAUAGAUUUGAGUAUGUGGGAUCUAUAUAUAAAGGAGGAUCACAAGCCCUUUCUCAUGUUGACACAAGUACAUACAAUGCAUGUAUAAAUGCCCCACUACUGUGAAGCUGAUCAAUUGCUGAAACUAUUGUUCCAAUCUGAAUAUGUUAUCUUAUAGUUUAUUCCAAUCUGAAAUUUUAUCCAAUUGAUUUUCAGCUGGCCUGAUGGAGCAAAUGAAAUUGGACCGUUAUUUGCAUCCCCACUUCCGGUAUACAUGAGGGAGGUUAGGACCGUGGUUUAUUCCCAAUUCUUGGAAUCCUAUAAGAUUGUCACAAUUAAGGCAAUGGCAAAAGCAUUUGGAGUAACAGUGGAGUUCAUUGAUUUGGAACUGUGACGUUUUAUUGCAGCAAGGAAGCUUCACUGCAAGAUUGAUAAAGUUGCCGAUGUUUUGGAAACUAACCGUCCAGAUGCAAAGAAUGCUCUUUAUCAAGCAACUAUCAAGCAAGGGGACUUCCUACUAAACCGAAUUCAGAAGCUUUCUCGUGUGAUUGAUCUUUGAAAGCAUUUCUUGCGUUUUGGAAAAUGAUGCC